ACGCUGGCGGCAGGCCUAACACAUGCAAGUCGAGCGGUAGAGAGAAGCUUGCUUCUCUUGAGAGCGGCGGACGGGUGAGUAAUGCCUAGGAAUCUGCCUGGUAGUGGGGGAUAACGUCCGGAAACGGACGCUAAUACCGCAUACGUCCUACGGGAGAAAGCAGGGGACCUUCGGGCCUUGCGCUAUCAGAUGAGCCUAGGUCGGAUUAGCUAGUAGGUGGGGUAAUGGCUCACCUAGGCGACGAUCCCUAGCUGGUCUGAGAGGAUGACCAGCCACACUGGAACUGAGACACGGUCCAGACUCCUACGGGAGGCAGCAGUGGGGAAUAUUGCACAAUGGGCGCAAGCCUGAUGCAGCCAUGCCGCGUGUGUGAAGAAGGCCUUAGGGUUGUAAAGCACUUUCAGCGAGGAGGAAGGCGUUGUAGUUAAUAGCUGCAGCGAUUGACGUUACUCGCAGAAGAAGCACCGGCUAACUCCGUGCCAGCAGCCGCGGUAAUACGGAGGGUGCAAGCGUUAAUCGGAAUUACUGGGCGUAAAGCGCACGCAGGCGGUUUGUUAAGUCAGAUGUGAAAUCCCCGAGCUUAACUUGGGAACUGCAUUUGAAACUGGCAAGCUAGAGUCUUGUAGAGGGGGGUAGAAUUCCAGGUGUAGCGGUGAAAUGCGUAGAGAUCUGGAGGAAUACCGGUGGCGAGGGCGGCCCCCUGGACAAAGACUGACGCUCAGGUGCGAAAGCGUGGGGAGCAAAC
rnacentral:rRNA from 1 species